GCGACCUGUCAGGUAGGACGCAAUCCAAGCGUGGGCCGCGCCGGAGAUGCCCAACUCGGAUAGGGUGGAGAGGAGGAUCUGAUGGUUCACAGUAUCAAAGGCAGCAGAUAGGUCUAGAAGUAUGAGAGCAGAGGAGAGAGGUGAUAGAGAACAUGAUAGGUUAGGAGAAUUAACAUGGCAGGUUAGGAGAAUUAACAUGGCAGGUUAGGAGAAUUAACAUGACAGGUUAGGAGAAUUAAUAUGACAGGUUAGGAGAAUUAACAUGGCAGGUUAGGAGAAUUAACAUGGCAGGUUAGGAGAAUUAACGUGUCAGGUUAGGAGAAUUAACAUGGCAGGUUAGGAGAAUUAACAUGAUAGGUUAGGAGAACUAACACAGCAGGUUAGGAGAAUUAACAUGGCAGGUUAGGAGAAUUAACAUGAUAGGUUAGGAGAACUAACACAGCAGGUUAGGUGAAUUAACGUAGCAGGUUAGGAGAAUGAGGUUAAGAUUAGGAAAAGGGUUAUUGUUAGCUACAACGCUUCAGAUGGCAACAACUGUUGUCCCCGACGCGACCACAAGAUGGAGCUGUAGGCCACAACGAGAAGAGGUAGUACUCUGUGUUGGAUGUCUGUCUACACCUCCAUUGACUCUGGUGGUGAGUAUCUAACUGUGUGUUUGUUACAACUGUGGAAAAUGUUCUGUGUUUGGUGUAACUCAGACAGGAAACGCCACGUAUUCGUUUAACCGUUUAUUAGAAAGAUUGCAAUACGUUAGUGUUGGUGUUAGGUUCUGCUCCUUCAGGGUAGCUCACUGCCAGAGCCUGCAUCAUGUUAAAUAAUGAUAAUUACAGGCAGUGAGCAAGGUACCCUGCACCAAAUAUUCCUGUCAGGGCCCAUUUAAGUUGAGAUCCAUUUUAGAUGGUGUCAGGAUCAUUUGAUUUUCAUUCAUUUCUUCUUCU
rnacentral:lncRNA from 1 species